rnacentral:tRNA from 1 species
GACAACGUAGCUCAAUCGGGUAGAGCAACUGGUUUUGGACCAGUGGGUAGCGGGUUCGAAUCCCGCCGUUGCCA